CCUGUAGGUGGGGUCUAUCCUCAUUUUUGUGAGGGGCUGCAAACGGCCUGGUUUGCAGCCCGGCUGCAACAAAUUUUUUUCCGAUGUCCGUCUGUCUGUUUUUUCCAGCAGGCAGCAGGAGGAGAAUCGGGUCCGGUUCCGCAGGUCGGAUGGGAGCAGCAGCCACAGCCAAGCCUCUCGCUCUCGCGCCCGUCGUCGACCGCGACGACGUGGCCGUCAGUCCUUUAUCUGCAGCCAGCGGCCGAGCUGCGUCGGGUUCACGACGCCGGGGACGUGGGCCCCGCGCGCCACCAGCAGCCACGACACCUCCGCGUACCUCUUCCUGGGGUCCGGCUCGGCCCGCGCCGGUGCCGGAGCCGGGGCUCCGCGGCUCGGCUCGAUCCGCCGACCCAGGAGCGUGCCGUGGGCGAGGAACUCGUGGGCCAGGUGCCCGGCCAGGAGCUUGUUGUCGCCGGCGGCGGCGGCGGCGGCGGAGGGGGCCGCGCGAGCCGGAGCCGGAUUCCACGGCUCGGCUCUAGCCGCCACCGGGAGCGGCUGGGCCUGCAGCAGCUCGCGCUCGCGCUCCUUGCGCUUGCCGAGGACGACACGCGCGGCCUCCAGCUUCUCGCUCAGCGACAUAUCGACGGCUGCGCUUCGCCUCCAGACACGUCAGCGCGGAGCUGAGCCGUCCGAAAGGAAAUACGGAGAGGCACAGAGUUUUUUUUUUUUGCUCCCUCCUUUGGUCUCGCUGCGGAGCAGUUGAAGGAAAAAAAAGAAAAGAAAAAGAGAGACCGAACACAAAGUACGAACUGAGAUGGUGGGACCCACGCAGGGGCAGGAUCGUAAGUUCACAGGGCAGAAGGAGGAGAGGAAACGAAGGGAGUACGAGAGACGGGAGAGGAUGGAGGAAGCAGGGGAGAAAUCUGAUUCAAAAA
rnacentral:misc_RNA from 1 species